GGAAUAAAGGGCUGAGGAGAGGGCCACUCGCUCUCUUGGGUUUCCGGUGUGGGUCUCCAAGAGCUGCACAGCGCUGGGUUCUCAUAUUUCAUUUGGAACUGAAUGAUCAUCCGAGGCUGAAUUGUGCUUGGCGAUAUGUCUGCGCCACCUGCUGGCCAGACAUAGUUACUGCAAGUUGAAAUCCACACCACACCUCCAGACUAGAAAAUCGCUGAAGUUUGCUUUUUAGAUCGGAUCUGCUCGUGAAGACCCACCAAAUUAGUAGCGACCCUCAUCACUUCAUCCCCGCGCGUCGGGGGUCCCCUCCGGGUGUCACAACUGGUGCCCAACCUGGGACACGAGUUACAGACCACCAAUCGGACGGCAGAGGCGUGAAGAGUCCAGAGCCCACUCAUAAGACGUCAGAUGCUAUUGACAACAAAACUCCCAGUGAAAAUGACACCGCAUCGCCUGCUACUUCUUCCAUUUCUCCUUUUGAUUUUUAGUUUCCUUCCUUGCAUCCCUGCCAAUCCCUACCGAGUAUACAACUACACUUGGAUAAUUACCAAUGAGGCCGGGGACAUAGCCAAUGCUACCUCACAACUUGCGGGUUCUAUCCCAUGGCCUAAUCUUUUUGUCGACCUGUGUGCACUCGCCAUGGGCGCGGCUGGAAAAACUUGGGGCACACCUAAUAACUUCAUGCCCCAACCCAAACCCGUGAACACAAAUAACCGCUAUAGUACCGUUCCUGGGUGUUAUAACGCCGCUGCACGUACCUAUCUAACCAUGGCACCCAUAUACGUUUGCCCCGGCCCACAUAGAGAUCGAUCCCUAACAGGAAAGUGUGGGCAAUCAGAAAGUUUUUAUUGCGCACAAUGGGGCUGCGAAACCACAGGUGACACCUAUUGGAAUCCCUCCUCUUCCUGGGACCUCAUAACUGUAAAGCGAUUUAAUCCCCCUGCCAUACAGCUUAAUUCUGGCCCAACACCAUUUAAUCCCCUUUGUUCACACAGUUGGUGCAACCUCCUCCAUAUCCAGUUUACAGCUGCAGGAAAAAGGUUCCUCUGGGAAGGUUCCCACGGUGCUCACUGGGGUCUACGCCUAUAUGUUUCUGGCACAGACCCAGGCCUCACUUUUUCCAUUAAACUUUUGAAAGAAAUCCCUUCCUUUCACCCUAUUGCUGUUGGCCCCAAUCCUUUUUUUACACCCCUCUGGUGGUGGCUCAUUCCUACCCAAGGCCGCCACCCCUCGCCCUGGUCCUAAUCUCCAUUCUCCAGCUCCCGCUGUCGCCACCUUUGUUUAGCAACCCACCAUGCCUGCCUGUCCAGUCUCCACCGCGGACCUCAUCCUUCCGCCUUGGCCCAGGCACUCUCCAACACCGCUUAUGAGCACUGCUGGAUUUGCUAU